rnacentral:ncRNA from 1 species
UUGCCCAUCGGGGCUGCGGAUACCUGGUCUUAUUUUU